AACCCUGUAGUUUAAUUAAAAUAUUAAGUUGCAAACUUAAAGUUAUAGUUGUUUAUUGGGGUUU
rnacentral:tRNA from 1 species